rnacentral:rRNA from 1 species
ACUCCUACGGGAGGCAGCAGUGGGGAAUAUUGCACAAUGGGCGCAAGCCUGAUGCAGCAACGCCGCGUGAGUGAUGAAGGCCUUCGGUCGUAAAGCUCUGUCCUCAAGGAAGAAUAAAUAGACGGUACUUGAGGAGGAAGCCCGGCUAACUACGUGCCAGCAGCCGCGGUAAUACGUAGGGGGCGAAGCGUUAUCCGGAAUCACUGGGGCGUAAAGGGGUGCGUAGGCGGUUUUUCAAGUCAGAAGUGAAAGGCUAUGGCUCAACCAUAGUAAGCUUUUGAAACUGUUAAACUUGAGUGCAGGAGAGGAAAGUGGAAUUCCUAGUGUAGAGGUGAAAUUCGUAGAUAUUAGGAGGAACACCAGUGGCGAAGGCGACUUCUGGACUGUAACUGACGCUGAGGCACGAAAGCGUGGGGAG